CCCUUAGAUGUUCUGGGCUGCACGCGUGCUACACUGAUUAUUUCAACAAGUGUUUUAACUGGAGAGUUCGCGUAAUCCUGAAAUGUUAUCGUGAUGGGAGUAGAGUAUUGUAUUUGUUAAUCUUUAACGAGGAAUUCCUAGUAAGUGUAGGUUUAUAAGUUGUUCUGAUUACGUCCCUGCCCUUUGUACACACCGCCCGUCGCUCCUACCGAUUGAUUGAUCCGGUGAAUUACAUAGAAUUUUGCGUUUUACAUGACGGAAGACGAAGUGUUUUAAACCUUAUCAUUUAGAGGAAGGAGAAGUCGUAACA
rnacentral:rRNA from 1 species